UGUUUUGCUGCUUCAGGACCUUGAAGGCUUGCUGUGAUAGAUGGAACCAUGAAUUCUACUGUCUACCAAAAAAUCCUGAAGGAGAAUGUCCGGCCAUCUGUUCGUCAACUCAAGCUGAAGCGAUCUUGGGUGCUGCAACAGGACAAUGACCCAAAAACACACCAGCAAAUCCACCUCAGAAUGGCUGAAGAAAAACAAAAUGAAGACUUUGGAGUGGCCUAGUCAAAGUCCUGACCUGAAUCCAAUUGAGAUGCUAUGGUAUGACCUUAAAAAGGCGGUUCAUGCUAGAAAACCCUCAAAUAAAGCUGAAUUACAACAAUUUUGCAAAGAUGAGUGGGCCAAAAUUCCUCCAGAGCGCUGUAAUAGACUCAUUGCAAGUUAUUGCAAAUGCUUGAUUGCAGUUAUUGCUGCUAAGGGUGGCCCAACCAGUUAUUAGGUUCAGGGGGCAAUUACUUUUUCACACAGGGCCAUGUAGGUUUGGAUUUUUUUUCUCCCUAAAUAAUAAAAACCAUCAUUUAAAAACUGCA